AUUGAACGCUGGCGGCAGGCCUAACACAUGCAAGUCGAACGGUAACAGGAAGCAGCUUGCUGCUUCGCUGACGAGUGGCGGACGGGUGAGUAAUGUCUGGGAAGCUGCCUGAUGGAUGGGGAUAACUACUGGAAACGGUAGCUAAUACCGCAUAAUUUCGCAAGACCAAAGAUGGGGACCUUCGGGCCUCUUUCCAUCGGCUGUUCCCAGAUGGCGUUCGCUUGUUGGUGGGGUAACGGCUCACCAAGGCGACGAUCCCUAGCUGGUCUGAGAGGAGGACGAGCAACCCUGGGACUGAGACACGGUCAAGCCCCCUACGGGAGGCAGCAGAGGGAAACAUUGGAAAAUGGGGGCAAGCUUGAUGCACAACGGCGCGGUGGAUGAAGAAGGCCUCCGGGUUGUAAAGUAUUUUAAGAGGGGAGGAAGGGAGUAAAGUUAAUACCUCUGCUCAUUGACGUUCCCAGCAGAAGAAGCACCGGCUAACUCCGU
rnacentral:rRNA from 1 species